rnacentral:misc_RNA from 1 species
AGUAAAAUAUCUCAUUUGUAUAUACAAAAUUGAGAAUUUUCUUUUAAGAGUGUCGUUGUGAUUGAUACGCAAGGAGGGGGACAAAUUAAUAAAUAUAUCAAAUGAAGCUCGCAGCUAAGAUUCUAAUCUUUGAACUGAACGUAUAUCAAUGCAAGCAUUAUUCAGAAUUUGAUCGACGAGUUCACAAGAGUAAGAAGGUGUUUAGCAAUUUCAACAGAUGCAUUUGGCUUUGCAGUCUUGAGAGCUCUCUCAGACAUCUCCGUCAUCAAUCUCUCAUCAUCUAAAAUUUCUUCAAUAGAACUUUUAAGAGUAAGAGAGUCAAGUUCAU